rnacentral:rRNA from 1 species
UGCCAGCAGCCGCGGUAAUACGGAAGGUCCGGGCGUUAUCCGGAUUUAUUGGGUUUAAAGGGAGCGUAGGCGGUAUAUUAAGCGUGUUGUGAAAUGUAGGUGCUCAACAUCUGACUUGCAGCGCGAACUGGUUUACUUGAGUACGCACAACGUAGGCGGAAUUCGUCGUGUAGCGGUGAAAUGCUUAGAUAUGACGAAGAACUCCGAUUGCGAAGGCAGCUUACGGGAGCGCCACUGACGCUGAAGCUCGAAAGUGCGGGUAUCGAACAGGAUUAGAUACCCUGGUAGUCCGCACGGUAAACGAUGGAUGCCCGCUCUGAGUCCUUUUGGAUUUGGGGCCAAGCGAAAGCAUUAAGCAUCCCACCUGGGGAGUACGCCGGCAACGGUGA